rnacentral:rRNA from 1 species
CUUGGCACUGAAAGCCGAUGAAGGACGUGAUAUACUGCGAUAAGUUUCGGGGAGCUGUAUGUAAGCUUUGAUCCGAAAAUUUCCGAAUGGGGAAACCCACCACUUUAUGUGGUACUUUAAACUGAAUACAUAGGUUUAAAGAGACAACCUGGAGAACUGAAACAUCUAAGUAACCAGAGGAAAAGAAAUCAAUUGAGAUUCCGUUAGUAGUGGCGAGCGAACGCGGAGUAGGCCAGUAGUUUUGUUAGAAAAAUUUGAAUAGUUUGGAAAUGCUAACCAUAGAGGGUGAUAGUCCCGUAUGAGUAAUGUCUAACAAAAUUCUUGAGUAAAGCGGGACACGAGAAAUCCUGCUCGAAUAUAGGGGGACCACCCUCUAAGCCUAAAUACUCUUCAGUGACCGAUAGUGAACUAGUACCGUGAGGGAAAGGUGAAAAGAACCCCUAUUAGGGGAGUGAAAUAGAACCUGAAACUGCAUGCCUACAAUCAGUCCGAGCCCUUUUUAGGGUGAGGGCGUACCUUUUGUAUAAUGGGUCAGUGACUUAAUUUAUUAAGCAAGCUUAAGCCAUCUAGGUGUAGGCGCAGCGAAAGCAAGUCUUAAUAGGGCGAUUAGUUUAAUGAAUUAGACCCGAAAACGAAUGAGCUUACCAUGAGCAGGUUGAAAGUUGGGUAACACCAACCGGAGGACCGAACCAGUUGACGUUGAAAAGUCUUUGGAUGACUUGUGGUAAGGGGUGAAAGGCCAACCAAAUUCGUAGAUAGCUGGUUUUCCGCGAAAACUAUUUAGGUAGUGCGUCGAAUAAAUAGAUGUUUAGAGGUAGAGCACUAAAUGGGCUAGGGGGAAGAGAUUCUUACCAAACCUAAUAAAACUCCGAAUGCUAGACAUUGUUCUUCGGCAGACAGACUGUGGGUGCUAAGGUCCAUGGUCGAGAGGGAAAGAGCCCAGACCACCAGAUAAGGUCCCAAAAUCAUGAUUAAGUGUGAAAGGAUGUGGAAAUUCCUUAACAGCCGGGAGGUUGGCUUAGAAGCAGCCAUCCUUUAAAGAUAGCGUAACAGCUCACCGGUCUAAUAGAGUUUCUGCGCCGAAGAUGUAACGGGGCUAAAAUCAUGUACCGAAUCUGUGGCUUUGCAAAGUUUUCGAACUUUGUAAGGGGUAGCGGAACGUUCUGUAAGCCUGCGAAGGGAUACCCGUGAGGGAUCCUGGAGGUAUCAGAAGUGCGAAUGCUGACAUAAGUAACGAUAAACGAAGUGAAAAACUUCGUCGCCGAAAAUCUAAGGGUUUCUAUGCAAGGUUAAUCCGCGUAGAGUUAGUCGGCACCUAAGGCGAGGGCGAAAGCCGUAGUCGAUGGAAACAAGGUUAAUAUUCCUUGACCUGAUGGUAGUGACGGAUUUCGUAAGUUGUGAGUUCUUAAUGGAUUGAACUUGCCGCGAAGAGGUCCCAAGAAAUAGCUCCAUCAUGAAGACCGUACCCGAAACCGACACAGGUAGAUUAAUAGAGUAUAUUUAGGCGCUUGAGAGAAUGAUGUUGAAGGAACUCGGCAAAAUGCUUCCGUAACUUCGGGAUAAGGAAGACCCUUUUGUAGGCAACUAUAGAAGGGUGGCACAAGCCAGGGAGAAGCGACUGUUUAUCAAAAACACAGGGCUCUGCUAACACGUAAGUGGAUGUAUAGGGUCUGACGCCUGCCCGGUGCUGGAAGGUUAAUGCGGUUGGUGCAAGCUAACUUCUGAAGCCCCAGUAAACGGCGGCCGUAACUAUAACGGUCCUAAGGUAGCGAAAUUCCUUGUCGGGUAAGUUCCGACCUGCAUGAAUGGCGUAACGAUUUCUCCGCUGUCUCCAACAUCAACUCAGUGAAAUUGAAUUCUCCGUGAAGAUGCGGAGUUCGCGUAGUUAGACGGAAAGACCCCGUGCACCUUACU